AGAGUUUGAUCAUGGCUCAGAUUGAACGCUGGCGGCAUGCCUAACACAUGCAAGUCGAACGGCAGCAUGAACCAGUUUACUGGUUUGAUGGCGAGUGGCGCACGGGUGAGUAACGCGUAGGAAUAUGCCCUGAAGAGUGGGACAACUUGGGGAAACUCAAGCUAAUACCGCAUAAUCUCGGAAGAGGAAAGCUGGGGACUUUUGGCCUGGCGCUUUAGGAGUAGCCUGCGUCCGAUUAGCUAGUUGGUGGGGUAAAGGCCUACCAAGGCGAUGAUCGGUAGCUGGUCUAAGAGGAUGGACAGCCACACUGGGACUGAGACACGGCCCAGACUCCUACGGGAGGCAGCAGUGGGGAAUAUUGGACAAUGGGGGCAACCCUGAUCCAGCGAUGCCGCGUGUGUGAAGAAGGCCUGAGGGUUGUAAAGCACUUUUGUUAGGGAGGAGGGUAUACUGGUUAAGAGCUGAUAUACUGGACGUUACCUAAAGAAUAAGCACCGGCUAACUCCGUGCCAGCAGCCGCGGUAAUACGGAGGGUGCGAGCGUUAAUCGGAAUUACUGGGCGUAAAGGGUGCGUAGGUUGUUAUGUAAGUUGACUGUGAAAGUCCUGGGCUCAACCUAGGGAUGUCAGUUAAGACUGUGUGACUUGAGUAU
rnacentral:rRNA from 1 species